rnacentral:tRNA from 1 species
GCCGGGGUAGCUCAGCCUGGUAGAGCGCCGGGCUGUUAACCGCGUUAGGUAGCCUGGUGGAAACCCGGUGGUCCGGGGUUCGAGUCCCCGCCCCGGCG